GGACUACACGGGUUUCUAAUCCUGUUUGCUCCCCACGCUUUCGCGCCUCAGCGUCAGUUUCGGACCAGUUGGCCGCCUUCGCCACCGGUGUUCUUGCGAAUAUCUACGAAUUUCACCUCUACACUCGCAGUUCCACCAACCUCUUCCGAACUCAAGACUCCCAGUAUCGAAGGCAAUUCCAGGGUUGAGCCCUGGGCUUUCACCUCCGACUUAAAAGUCCGCCUACGCGCCCUUUACGCCCAGUGAUUCCGAGCAACGCUAGCCCCCUUCGUAUUACCGCGGCUGCUGGCACGAAGUUAGCCGGGGCUUAUUCUUCCGGUACAGUCAUUAUCUUCCCGGACAAAAGAGCUUUACAACCCUAAGGCCUUCAUCACUCACGCGGCAUGGCUGGAUCAGGCUU
rnacentral:misc_RNA from 1 species